ACCAGCAACCUCUUGGGCA
rnacentral:snRNA from 1 species